rnacentral:rRNA from 1 species
UAGGGAAUCUUCCGCAAUGGGCGAAAGCCUGACGGAGCAACGCCGCGUGAGUGAUGAAGGUCUUCGGAUCGUAAAACUCUGUUAUUAGGGAAGAACAAAUGUGUAAGUAACUAUGCACGUCUUGACGGUACCUAAUCAGAAAGCCACGGCUAACUACGUGCCAGCAGCCGCGGUAAUACGUAGGUGGCAAGCGUUAUCCGGAAUUAUUGGGCGUAAAGCGCGCGUAGGCGGUUUUUUAAGUCUGAUGUGAAAGCCCACGGCUCAACCGUGGAGGGUCAUUGGAAACUGGAAAACUUGAGUGCAGAAGAGGAAAGUGGAAUUCCAUGUGUAGCGGUGAAAUGCGCAGAGAUAUGGGGGAACACCAGUGGCGAAGGCGACUUUCUGGUCUGUAACUGACGCUGAUGUGCGAAAGCGUGGGGAUCAAACAGA